UACGGAGGGGGCUAGCGUUGUUCGGAAUUACUGGGCGUAAAGAGCGCGCAGGCGGUCGUACAAGUCGCGUGUGAAAGCCCCUGGCUCAACUGGGGAGGGUCACGCGAUACUGUUCGACUCGAAGGCAGGAGAGGGAAGUGGAAUUCCCGGUGUAGUGGUGAAAUGCGUAGAUAUCGGGAGGAACACCAGUGGCGAAGGCGACUUCCUGGCCUGUUCUUGACGCUGAGGCGCGAAAGCUAGGGUAGCAAACGGG
rnacentral:rRNA from 1 species